UGGUGGAGUGAUUUGUCUGGUUAAUUCCGAUAACGAACGAGACCUUAUCCUGCUAAAUAGACGGCGCUGCCCUUGGGCAGUGUCUCCGUCUUCUUAGAGGGACUAUCUGUGACUAACAGAUGGAAGAAAGGCAAUAACA
rnacentral:rRNA from 1 species